UACGGAGGGUGCAAACGUUGCUCGGAAUCAUUGGGCGUAAAGCGCACGUAGGCGGCUCAGCAAGUUGGACGUGAAAGCCCAGGGCUCAACCCUGGAAGUGCAUCCAAAACUGCUGAGCUUGAGUCCCGGAGGGGCCCAGAGAAUUCCUGGUGUAGAGGUGAAAUUCGUAGAUAUCAGGAGGAAUACCAGUGGCGAAGGCGCUGGGCUGGACGGGUACUGACGCUGAGGUGCGAAAGCGUGGGGAGCAAACAGG
rnacentral:rRNA from 1 species